rnacentral:rRNA from 1 species
CUACGGGUGGCUCCAGUGGGGAAUAUUGCACAAUGGGGGAAACCCUGAUGCAGCGACGCCGCGUGAAGGAUGACGGAUUUCGGUCUGUAAACUUCUAUCAGCAGGGAAGAUAGUGACUGUACCUGACUAAGAAGCCCCGGCUAACUACGUGCCAGCAGCCGCGGUAAUACGUAGGGGGCAAGCGUUAUCCGGAAUUACUGGGUGUAAAGGGUGCGUAGGCGGCGACUUAAGUUAGAUGUGAAAGCCCGGGGCUCAACCUCGGGACUGCAUUUAAAACUGGGUUGCUAGAAUACAGGAGAGGUAAGUGGAAUUCCUAGUGUAGCGGUGAAAUGCGUAGAUAUUAGGAGGAACACCAGUGGCGAAGGCGACUUACUGGACUGUUAUUGACGCUGAGGCACGAAAGCGUGGGGAGCGAACAGGAUUAGAUACCCCAGUAGUC